rnacentral:rRNA from 1 species
UACGUAGGGUGCAAGCGUUGUCCGGAAUUAUUGGGCGUAAAGAGCUCGUAGGCGGUUUGUCGCGUCUGCUGUGAAAACUCGGGGCUUAACUCCGGGCCUGCAGUGGGUACGGGCAGACUAGAGUGCGGUAGGGGAGACUGGAAUUCCUGGUGUAGCGGUGAAAUGCGCAGAUAUCAGGAGGAACACCGGUGGCGAAGGCGGGUCUCUGGAACGCAACUGACGCUGAGACGCGAAAGCGUGGGGAGCAAACAGG